rnacentral:rRNA from 1 species
AUUGAACGCUGGCGGCAUGCUUUACACAUGCAAGUCGAACGGUAACAGGGAGCUUGCUCCGCUGACGAGUGGCGAACGGGUGAGUAAUAUAUCGGAACGUACCCAAGCGUGGGGGCUAACGUAGCGACAGUUACGCUAAUACAGCAUACGAUCUAAGGAUGAACGCCGGGGACCAUAGGGCAUUGAGCUCCUGGCUCGGCCGAUAUCAGAUUAGCUAGUUGGUGAGGUAAAGGCUCACCAAGGCGACGAUCAGUAGCUGGUCUGAGAGGACGACCAGCCACACUGGAACUGAGACACGGUCCAGACUCCUACGGGAGGCAGCAGUGGGGAAUUUUGGACAAUGGGCGCAAGCCUGAUCCAGCAAUGCCGCGUGAGUGAAGAAGGCCUUCGGGUUGUAAAGCUCUUUUGUCAGGGAAGAAACGGUAUUGGCUAAUAUCCAGUCCUAAUGACGGUACCUGAAGAAUAAGCACCGGCUAACUACGUG